rnacentral:rRNA from 1 species
CGCUGGCGGCAGGCUUAACACAUGCAAGUCGAACGGGUGUCGCAAGACAUCAGUGGCAGACGGGUGAGUAACACGUGGGAACCUUCCUAGGGGUACGGAACAACUCAGGGAAACUUGAGCUAAUACCGUAUACGUCCGUAAGGAGAAAGAUUUAUCGCCCUUAGACGGGCCCGCGUCGGAUUAGCUAGUUGGUGGGGUAACGGCCUACCAAGGCGACGAUCCGUAGCUGAUCUGAGAGGAUGAUCAGCCACACUGGGACUGAGAUACGGCCCAGACUCCUACGGGAGGCAGCAGUGGGGAAUCUUGGACAAUGGGCGCAAGCCUGAUCCAGCCAUGCCGCGUGAGUGAAGAAGGCCUUAGGGUUGUAAAGCUCUUUUACCAGGGACGAUAAUGACGGUACCUGGAGAAUAAGCCCCGGCAAACUUCGUGCCAGCAGCCGCGGUAAUACGAAGGGGGCUAGCGUUGUUCGGAAUUACUGGGCGUAAAGCGCACGUAGGCGGGUCGUUAAGUCAGGGGUGAAAUCCCGGAGCUCAACUCCGGAACUGCCUUUGAUACUGGCGAUCUAGAGGUCGAGAGAGGUGAGUGGAAUUCCGAGUGUAGAGGUGAAAUUCGUAGAUAUUCGGAAGAACACCAGUGGCGAAGGCGGCUCACUGGCUCGAUACUGACGCUGAGGUGCGAAAGCGUGGGGA